rnacentral:rRNA from 1 species
CCUUCUUUUCCUCGCUUUUUUCGGAAUUACUGGGCGUAAAGCGCGUGUAGGCGGCCAAGUGUGUCGGAUGUGAAAUCCCGCAGCUCAACUGUGGAAGUGCAUUCGAAACUGCUUGGCUGGAGUUUCGGAGAGGAAGGCGGAAUGCUUGGUGUAGAGGUGAAAUUCGUAGAUAUCAAGCAGAACACCUGUGGCGAAGGCGGCCUUCUGGACGAUGACUGACGCUGAGACGCGAAAGCGUGGGGAGCAAACAGGA